UGCGGUUAAAAGCUCGUAGUUGGAUUUUGGGCGCAGGCGGCCGGUCCGUCGCAAGGCGUGUACUGGCCGUCCUGGCCUCACCUCCGGUUCUCCGCCGGUGCCCUUGACUGAGUGUCGGCGGCGGCCGGAACGUUUACUUUGAAAAAAUUAGAGUGUUCAAAGCAGGCGAUUCGCCUGAAUAAUGGUGCAUGGAAUAAUGGAAUAGGACCUCGGUUCUAUUUUGUUGGUUUUCGGAGCGCGAGGUAAUGAUUAAGAGGGACAGACGGGGGCAUUCGUACUGUGCCGUUAGAGGUGAAAUUCUUGGAUCGGCGCAAGACGAACGACUGCGAAAGCAUUUGCCAAGAAUGUUUUCUUUAAUCAAGAGCGAAAGUCAGAGGUUCGAAGACGAUCAGAUACCGUCCUAGUUCUGACUAUAAACGAUGCCAACUAGCGAUCGGGGGGCGUUAGUUUUACGACCUCUCCGGCAGCUUGCGGGAAACCAAAGUCUUUGGGUUCCGGGGGAAGUAUGGUUGCAAAGCUGAAACUUAAAGGAAUUGACGGAAGGGCACCACCAGGAGUGGAGCCUGCGGCUUAAUUUGACUCAACACGGGAAAUCUCACCCGGCCCGGACACAGUGAGGAUUGACAGAUUGAGAGCUCUUUCUUGAUUCUGUGGGUGGUGGUGCAUGGCCGUUCUUAGUUGGUGGAGCGAUUUGUCUGGUUAAUUCCGAUAACGAACGAGACUCUGGCUUGCUAACUAGUUACGCGACCCAAUCGGUCGGCGUCUAACUUCUUAGAGGGACUAGUGGCGUUUAGCCACACGAGAUUGAGCAAUAACAGGUCUGUGAUGCCCUUAGAUGUUCGGGGCCGCACGCGCGCUACACUGACCGGAUCAGCAUGUGCUCGCCUUGGCCGACAGGUCUGGGUAACCCGCUGAACCCCGGUCGUGCUAGGGAUAGGGAAUUGCAAUUAUUUCCCUUGAACGAGGAAUUCCCA
rnacentral:rRNA from 1 species